GCCUCCAUCGUUUAACACCUAAGGAGAGAAAUGAAAUCCCAAAAAAUUAAAAACCCCGCUUGUUCUCCGAUCCUCUCCCUUUCAUCUUUUUGAUGUUCAUGUUAUCAAAGUGAUGCAGGUCCUCCUUCUAAUGUAAAAUCCUCUAACGAAGUAACCCUAUUAGCACUGUGCGGUUGUGAAUCUUUCUCCCUUUCAGAUUUUUGGCGCUCUGCAACCAUGGUAUCAACUACAAACAAUAAUGAACCCUAGAUCAUAUUCAAUACUCAUCCGUCCCCCCAUUCACCACUUGCUACCAGCUAUCACCAUUUUUAUGGUCUCCAAGCUCUGAAUUAGGGUUUACUUUGGCGAUAAUUUCAACUUCUCUUACUCCAGCAUCCCAACUCUCCGAUCCUAAAUCCCCCGUUGCUACCUUGCCUCUUUUCUCCGGGCUCUGCCGUUCUUCGAAGGUCGACUCCACUUCACUCUUCAAAACUCAAUCACCCUUCCAAAAUGUAAAUUCUCACAUACGACUCUCCUCUCCUUCUAAACGACCUUACACCCGUAUAGUCGCCAUGGACGGUACAGGGAAGGGUUGUUUCCUUGAACAAGAAUCGAUUACGGAUGCACAUAAGGUGCUUGACAUAAUGUCUCUGUUAGGUGUUCACCCAGAUGAGACCACUUUUGGCUACCUUGUCUAUCUAUAUGCAAAAAAAGGACUCGAGCACAAGAUGAUUGAACUACAAGACUUGGAUAUAAACUUCUUUGACUCUGAAAGUAUUGGAGAUGUGACUAGUCGGUUAGGAUCAGUUUGUCACGGGUUAUUGGGAAUGAUCUUAACCUAAUAUUACGCAUUCUUCUUCAGGCCACAGGGGAUUUGAUCUACUUGUUAGUGUUGUCUUGGCCACUUGGCUUAUUCACAUUGGCCAUAUGCUCUACUUUGUUACUAUUUAUGUUAAAAUAUGGACAAUAAGUUCUCCUAUUUGUAUUUUAGUAGAUUGAUCAUAUGCAGUAAAUGUAAAUGUUGACGCUUUUAUCAAAUAUAAAAGUUUAAAUUGAAACACAUGUCUUAUAUCCGUGAAGGAGCUUCAUUUGAUAAUUGAAGCAUGUCUUAUAUCCGUGAAGGAGCUUCAUUUGGUACUCUUUUUGGACCUGCCCUUGAGCUUGGAAUAGUUUCUAGAAGGAGAGUGUAUUAUGAGACUCUAAAAUAUGAAAAGUACAAAAAUGGUGGAUUUCUGUCACCCUUUGGGUACUCAACUACCACCACUGCUGCAGUAGUUGGUCAUGUUCUCUCAACAGAGGUGUGCUUUUUCCACUAUUGCCCUCUAUCUUGAUGAAUCUUAUUCCAAAAUUGUGACUCUUUUGGCAGUGGUGUAGUCUUUUGUCAUCAAGAAGUCAACUUGAUUCAACUAAAUGAUAUUCUAUUCGGUACUCGAAGUAGAAUGGUUAUCGAAUAUAGUUGAUUUUGAUUUCAAAUCACUCAUGGGAUUUUCUUGUUUUUUUUUUCUUUUCAGUAUGCUAUUGUCGGAAGUGAAGGUCCUGCAAUUCUUCUUGUGCAUGGUUUUGGUGUUUUUUUGGAGCAUUAUCAUUGAUGUUAUUGGGGAACCAUUUCAUCUUGUUGGGAAAUCAUUCGGAGGCGAUUUAAUCCUUACGUUGCCAGUUGUCACAGGAUCUGAACUAGUAUUUAGUCAGAUAUGAGUGAUCUCCCAAAUGAUUGCAAUGGAAAUAGGGAUUUCAAUCCUCCAAAGGGUCGAAAUGAGAAUGGUUGUUACCAUUCUAGGUAGGGAUGCAACUUUAACGAGGCGGGGACUCCCCGUCUUGACGGGUAACGGGGCGGGGACGAGUACUAAUUUUCACACCCGAAGCGGAUAGGGAGCGGGGAUGGACCCGUUGAGAUGUUAAAUGACACAAUUGCCCUUUGUGGGUAUCUCAACUCCUUUUAAACAUUGCUCAAGGUAUAUUUUGUAUCUACAUUGGCAUAUAUUGGAAUCUACCAUCUCUGAGAAGGAUUUUUUUUUAGAAAGGUUGUUUUCAUGGGGAACAAGUAAAGAAGGGGAGUCUUUUCUUAUUGAAUGGAAUGAAACUGAAAGAGCAAUUAAGAAGACUUAUACUGGUUUCAGAAAGAAAUCAAAUGGCGUUGCACAUUUUGACACAAAUCAGAACAACUUUUUGGUUGUUGGUGAAGAAAACCAAAUAAAGUUUUGGGACAUGCAUAAUAUGAAUAUUCUCACUACCACAGAUGCUGAUGGUGGACUCCAGAUUUUUCUGCGAUUGAGGUUCAACAAGGAAGGAAAUCUUCUUGUUGUUGCUACUAUUGAAUACAAGGUUGAUUCUGCUACAUGGCCAAUAAUGAUCUCUAGGGUCUGCUAGAAUGAUUGGAGAUUGCAGUUAAGCAUGUAUCUAAGACUUCACACCAAGGAUUUCAUGAAUUUAAGCUAGCAAUGUUUUACUUGAUCGGAUAUGAACCCUAAGAUAUCAUACUUUGGCAUGGCUAGAAUCUUUGGAGGAAAUGAGACUCAAGCAAAAGCAAACACACAGAGAGUUGUUGGCACAUAGUAAGCUAGAUAAUGCAAUUAUAUAUAAAUUAUGCUUCUCUUGAGUUCAUUUUUUUUUAUAACAUUUACUCACUAUUGGAAUAAUUAUUUGUAUUUGACAUAUUAGUGAAAUGAAUUAUCUUUGUUAUUUGUGGUA